UUGAGCCGUGUGCAAUGAAAGUUGCAUGCACGGUUCGUAAGGGGGGAAAGGCCGAGAGGCCCUACCUAUCCUAC
rnacentral:ncRNA from 1 species